CGGGAUUCACGACGACCGAGCACUCUAAAAAAGAUGUUCGUUGUCGUUGAAACCUGAA
rnacentral:pre_miRNA from 1 species